UACGGGAGGCAGCAGUGGGGAAUAUUGCACAAUGGGCGAAAGCCUGAUGCAGCUAUGCCGCGUGUAUGAAGAAGGCCUUAGGGUUGUAAAGUACUUUCAUCGGGGAGGAAAAACAAAACUAAUAAUUUUAUUUCUUGACGUUACCCGAAAAAGAAGCACCGGCUAACUCCGUGCCAGCAGCCGCGGUAAUACGGAGGGUGCUAGCGUUAAUCAGAAUUACUGGGCGUAAAGAGCACGUAGGUGGUUUUUUUAAGUCAGAUGUGAAAUCCCUGGGCUUAACCUGGAACUGCAUUUUGAAACUGAAAUACUAGAGUAUCGUAGAGGGAGGUAGAAUUCUAGGUGUAGCGGUGAAAUGCGUAGAUAUCUGGAGGAAUACCUGUGGCGAAAGCGGCCUCCUAAACGAAUACUGACACUGAGGUGCGAAAGCGUGGGGAGCGAAAACAGGGAUUAGAUACC
rnacentral:rRNA from 1 species